GGCCGGUUAGCUCAGUUGGUUAGAGCGUGGUGCUAAUAACGCCAAGGUCACGGGUUCAACCCCUGUACGGGCCA
rnacentral:tRNA from 1 species